UGAAUGACAAAAAAGGAGAAGAAGAUAAUGUCUCGGGCAGAGGGGAUCUCCUUGCCAACUAGCCAGAAGCAUGUAUAGGAAAAUCAAACCAAUUGGGGUCGUCCUUUUAGCCAAUCUUUUUCAAGCCCACUACCUCUUCCAAACGGAACCCUUUGCCAAGGAAAAAACUGGGGCAACUUUGUGAGUCUCAUACAAAUUUUUCAUCAUCCCAUGACCCAAGACUAGGGCAGCUUUGUGAUUCUCAUACAAAUUUUUCAUCAACCCUAUGCUCAUUUUCCCAAACACUAAACCGGGGCAAAUUUUUUCGUCUUGGCACUCACAUAUUACAUCUCCUUUGAGGAUUGUAGUACCCAUAUGUCGGUCCCAAUCUUCCAAACCAUUCCAAACGGCUCUCAUUCUCUUCAAAACCAUCCUCUUGCCAAUAAAUUCAAGCAUGUGUGCACUGAUGUCNCGAA
rnacentral:lncRNA from 1 species